UGUAGUAAAGGAGAUGGACUGGUAAGGCUAAGAGGUAGCAUGAAGUGUAGUAAAGGAGAUGGACUGGUAAGGCUAAGAGGUAGCAUGAAGUGUAGUAAAGGAGAUGGACUGGUAAGGCUAAGAGGUAGCAUGAAGUAUAGUAAAGGAGAUGGACUGGUAAGGCUAAGAGGUAGCAUGAAGUAUAGUAAAGGAGAUGGACUGGUAAGGCUAAGAGGUAGCAUGAAGUGUAGUAAAGGAGAUGGACUGGUAAGGCUAAGAGGUAGCAUGAAGUAUAGUAAAGGAGAUGGACUGGUAAGGCUAAGAGGUAGCAUGAAGUGUAGUAAAGGAGAUGGACUGGUAAGGCUAAGAGGUAGCAUGAAGUGUAGUAAAGGAGAUGGACUGGUAAGGCUAAGAGGUAGCAUGAAGUAUAGUAAAGGAGAUUGACUGGUAAGGCUAAGAGGUAGCAUGAAGUAUAGUAAAGGAGAUGGACUGGUAAGGCUAAGCUGAGUUGUUUGACACAGACAGUUGUGAGAGGAAGGAUACAGAUCUGUGGACCAGUGUUUGGUUGUAUUUGAUAAGGAGGAGGUGUGUUUAUUCGACUGGGGAUGUUUAGACUGCUUCUUCUCAGUGGUGGGAGGGAUGUGAGGAGGAUAGCUCUGUCCUGCAGUUGGAAAAGGAGGAGAUAAAUCCAUCUUUAACAUCUCUGGGCAGCAGACAAUGUGUGUGUCGGGUAUUAUAUUGUCUAGAGAAUGUAUAGCCAGUCUGAAGUCUAAUUCAUGUUAAGAGUAUCUCUGUCAGAUCUCUGAGUAAAAUAUACCUGUUGUAAUUUAUAUAUUAUACAAUAAGAAUGUGUAUUAUAAAUUACAUUUCAUGAAUAGUUAGUCACAAACUAUUUAUGAAAACAUGGCGUCGAGAUGCCAGAGACUGCCGCCUUCCUCUUGUGAAGGCCAUGUCUGUAUUUCAUAACAUUAUUGCUGUCUUGUCUGACACAACAUGGCUUCACAGUUGCUCAUGUCAAACAGCUGCUUCUCCGGACAUCCCAUGCGACUGGCCUAGAGAAACCAUGCUGGCCUCUAAAGCCCAUUGGCUGAAACCCCCCAAAAUGGCUACUCAGCUGAGACUUGUCAUCUCAGGGAGGCGAGGCAAACAGCGGAGUCUUGAGGGGACUAAGCAUUACGGGCAAACGUGAGAAUUCUAAUCUGAAAGAGAAGGUCUCUUUGGGCUGUGGGUCAUGUGGUACGACUACAUUCAGUUAAAUUAGGACUUUGUCGGUGGUGGAACUGUCCCUGUAAUUGUUUGCUUUUUUAUGAUGAUUUUACAAAGAAGAAUCGACACAAUUGUAGAUGGUGUCAAAUGUUUUUACCCAAUUUAGCACUUGAUUUGAACACGACCGACCAAGAGCCAGAAUUGAGCCCAAUAACCAUUGUGAUAAUCAGGUUUCUUACUCUUCUAUUCUACUCUCUUCUGAAGACAUGGCUGUAUCCAUCCUGGGAUACAGUGAUGUAAUAUGAGAGUGUUUCACUCAGCCUUGGUAUCACCAUACUUACACUAUGUGCUAUGAAGCUUGCAUCAUGCUAUUUUAAAGAUGGCAUACAAAGGCAUUGAAAUGUGAUACAGUUGAGAUCAAUUGAAUGACAAGUGACUCAAGGAAUGACUCAUGCUAUGAAUUAGGUCAGCUAAGUGACUUGCUUACAGAUUAGCUGUGAUAGAUAGGGUCAUUUGACAUGAAUUCUCAGGAAAUGUAAUGUUGUACAACUGUGACAUGUUUGAAAAAGCAUCAUGGCUAACAUCUCUAUAAUAUCUAGAUCACGUAAUGUCCUACCAACACAUCUGACCUUUCUGUUUCACCUCCAUAAUAUUCAGAAAUACGCUUCCUAUAUGUAGGGUUGCAAAAAUCCACUAGCUAAAAAAAAGUCCCAGUAAAUGAACAUUUCCAGGUUUCCCAGAAAUCCCAGUUUUGAAGAUUCCCUCUGGCAGUGUUCCAUUCCUUGCUUAUUCUCCCCCUUAUUCAGGGAAUCCUCCCAUGGGGGUUUCUGGAAAACCUAGGAAUUAUGGGAAAGUGACAGGAAUUCUGCAACACUAUUUUCAAUCAUGCAUUUGUGCUAAUAAUCUGUGCUGUAUAGUCAGUAUGCUGAGUGAUGUUGAGGCUCACAGCUGUGACGGCGGCAGUAGAAGACCACUAUAUACCGUUGCUUCUCUGACAUGUUUCCUUCUGUCUUUUAUCUGGACCUGCUCAGGUAUGUAUACUUUGGCUUUGGGCAACCUUCAGGAUCAUGGCUAAAAUGUAUUGAUCGUGUGAAAUUAUGAUAGAAUAAUUUUUUCAUUUGAUCUUCUUCUGCUCUUAAACAUUCAAACUGCACACCUCAAAGUCUGGCAUUUAGCUCUGACGAACAUUGGCAUCGUCGGUGAAAGACGGAGAGUGUGUAAGUUUGGUGACCAUCUGCUGUGUUCGAAGGUUAAUUUUCCUGUAUAUCUCAAUGCGUUGGCUGUCGACUGGGACACACACACACACACACACACACACACACACACACACACACACACACACACACACACACACACACACACACACACACACACACACACACACACACACACACACACCCUCUCUCUUUCUGAUCACCUCUGCAAUACUGCUCCCUUGGAUUGGGUUUCAGGCUCCAGCAUCAUGAGCAUGUUAACAGAUAAUUGCAUUGUUAAUCAAUGUCUCUCUGAGCUACCACGAUGGACAGUCCUUCACAGUCGCCCUAUUGCCAUUGGCCAGGGAGAUACUAUUCUACACAGUGUUGUAAUCUUCUCUUCUCCUGCUGAUGAUAAUGUAUGGUUCCCUAAAGGUCCCAGGAGGACAUUGCUCACCAGUGGAACCCAAGACACUUGUUAUCCAUUCAUCGUUCUUUGAUUAGCAUAGUCUGUUUCUAUAGUGCUUUAUACAAUGGGUGUGUGUAAUCCUGAAUGCUGAUUGGUUGAAACCGCAUUCCAGCCGUUGUCUAUUCCACCGGCUAAAUCUAUGGUGUUAAAAUGCCUAUUUACUCUGUUCCAUCUGACUGCAUUUAGUUUUCUACCAACUGUGUAAUUAAGUGAUAAUGCCAGAGAAAGGCUAUAUUGGGAUGGGUGUUGUUCAUUGAGGGUCGGCAAACCGUGCCAAUAUAUCCUCCAAACACCGUCUUCUAGGGCAUUAUCACUCUUAUACAAUGGGUUACCAACAUAUUCAAAUAAUGAGUCACAUAUUUUCAUAAAAAAACGUUAUUUUCAUUCAUUUAUUCAUACUAUUUCAUCCUUCCACAAUAUAUAGUCCCCACACCAAUCUAGGAUUGCUAGAGCGGAGACCCAGUCGUUCAGUCUUUCUGUUCUGUAUCUAUGGAUGUGACCCAGUCGUUCAUUCUAAAUGUACCGUUGCCAUACUGGCUGGCAAAGUUAUUAUCCUUUGCUUGCUAGCUAGCCAAAUACGGGUAACUUACAGUCAUGUCAAAAAAGUACAGCCGGUAAAGUAGCUGCAUUUGCAAUUGUUAAAGCUGGUUUCUAGUGCCAUUUAAUUGGAUCCAUCCAUAACAAUAAGCUGAUGAGGUACGAUUUCGCCUGGUAUAGAAAAUGUGCUCAUUCGUCAGGAUACUGUUAUUCAGAGGAGCUAGCCAACAACACAGCUACAGUAACACAAUCAUUUCUGACUGAAGCUGAAAGACUGCAAAUUAGCUGUGUUUCGUUUGAUCUUUUUUUAAUUUGUUUUGUAUACAUCCAUAAAAAUGAUGCCAGCUGAGUUAUGAUUUUGAAUGUCUGAGAAAUGCUUCCUGCCUCUCUGUCUCGUCCAGACUCACGACUCGUUCAUUACUCUGGGACAGCAGGAGAUCGAAUUUGAAUAUUGAAACAAUGUUGCAAAUGUCAGAGAGACAGACAGCAAGGUUUAUACAAAUCUCCGCUGUUGAAAACUAAAUGUUAGUCGAAAAAUAUGAGAUAUUAUCGAAUGCUUUUUAUAGUGGAAAUCAAGUUCAUAAAUUGCCUGGCUGGGCUGAUGAGACAAUGGAUUGUGCAGUCAGAUGGAACAGAGUUAAUAGGCUUUUAUUAUUUUUACACCCUUUUCUCACCAAUUUCAUGGUAUCAAAUUGGCAGUUUACAGUCUUCUCCCAUUGCUGCAACUCCCGUACGGACUUGGGAGAGGCAAAGGUCGAUGGAUUGCUUCUUGACACAAUGCCUGCUUAACCCACACCAAUGUGUCUGUACACUUUGCGACCGUGCCAGCGUGCAUUUCGCCCAGCCCGCCAUAGGAUUUGCUUGUGCGCGAUUGGACAACCCGGACAAAGUUGGGCCAAUUGUGCACCGCCCCAUGGGUCUCCCGGUCGCAGCCAACUGCGAAAGAGCCUGGACUCGAACCAGGUUCUCUAGUGGCACAGCUAGCACUGCAAUACUGUGCCUUAGACCACUGCGCCACUAGAGAGGCAUAAAUGGGCAUUUUAACAUCAUAGAUUUAGGCGGUGGAAACGUGUGGAAUAGACACCAACUGGAAUGUGGUUUUACGCAAACAGUCACGAUUCACCCAACCCAUUGCAUAAAGGGCUAUAGAGCAGAGCACAUUCUGUUGCUAAUGGGGCUAUAGAGUAGAGCUCCACCAGUCUGUUUUUAUAGGGACUGUAGAGUAGAGCACCAUGUGAUCAAUCUUCCUAAUUAUGUGCUAUAGAGCAGAGCACAUUAUGUUGCUAAUGGGGCUAUAGAGCAGAGCACAUUAUGUUGCUAAUGGGGCUAAAGAGCAGAGCAUAUUAUGUUGCUAAUGGGGCUAUAGAGCAGAGCACAUUAUGUUGCUAAUGGGGCUAUAGAGCAGAGCACAUUAUGUUGCUAAUGGGGCUAUAGAGCAGAGCACAUUAUGUUGCUAAUGGGGCUAUAGAGCAGAGCACAUUAUGUUGCUAAUGGGGCUAUAGAGCAGAGCACAUUAUGUUGCUAAUGGGGCUAUAGAGCAGAGCACAUUAUGUUGCUAAUGGGGCUAUAGAGCAGAGCACAUUCUGUUGCUAAUGGGGCUAUAGAGCAGAGCACAUUAUGUUGCUAAUGGGGCUAUAGAGCAGAGCACAUUAUGUUGCUAAUGGGGCUAUAGAGCAGAGCACAUUAUGUUGCUAAUGGGGCUAUAGAGCAGAGCACAUUAUGUUGCUAAUGGGGCUAUAGAGCAGAGCACAUGAUGUUGCUAAUGGGGCUAUAGAGCAGAGCACAUUAUGUUGCUAAUGGGGCUAUAGAGCAGAGCACAUUAUGUUGCUAAUGGGGCUAUAGAAAUCCUUUUGUUGUGUUUUCCACAUGUAACAUCUUAGCUUCAUUUUUAAAAAGGCUAUUAUGUCAUGUAUGUUGCACAGGUAAAUAGUUAAUGUUAAGUACAAGGCACUAUGUCAGUUGUAAAGCAGUGGGAAAUGUCUUAUACCUUUUAAUUCAGCAUUUUAACACUUGAUUAUUAGCUAUCAGUUUCCUCUGAUGAAACCAUAUUACAAAGAGAAACCACAUUCAUUAUCCCCCUGAUGUGUCAAAGCUGAGCUUAAACAGCAGUAAUAAAGCUGUAGCUUGGUUGACAGUAAUCCCCCUUGUAAGCGGAUUUAGUAAAGGCUGUUUUCCCAACAAUACACAGCCCAAGUUCUUAUGAGACGGGUUGCUGUGAAACACCUCUGGCUUUAUUCCGUUUUUUAAUGCCGUCUUUAAUGUCAAGGUAAAUGCCAUUAUUAGGUUCAUUGUUCAUGUUGUCUUUGGAAACAAAGCUCAGAGCCACCUUGUGAUGUUGCAGUAGGAGGUGUCCAAGCCUCUGCUACUGUAAAUAUCAGGUCAACGGUUGUGUUGUAGUCCUUUACUGCUACUGUUAGUCAAGAGAAGGUUCUAGUUGGAUGGAACUUGUUAAGUGCUGGUCAGAAAGCUACCCUGCUGUCCCCACAAUCAAAUACCUUCCUCAGCUUUAGAUACUUCCGGACCAGCGUGUACAGUCAGUACAUGCUCGUCCUGUUACCAGCGUCUGCCGAUUACUCGAAGCGAUAGGAGCAGGCCCUGGCCCUAGACUAGGGCUGGUCAAUGACGACAAGGUAAUAGACUAGAAUGCCUGUUCUCUGUGAUGUGACAACGGCCAGGAGUCCUGCUCGAUCGCUUUGUUAUGAAGUUAUGCAAACUAUGAAGUUAUGAAUAACAUAAAAUAACAUAAUAUGAUGUUAUUUAUGUUAUUUCUCAUGUGAAGAACUCCUGUAAACCUUGCCGUAUUGAAACUCAGUGAACAAGGCAUCUUAGACAAGCUGAAAAACAAAUGGUGGUACGAUAAGGGUGAAUGUGGAACCAAGGACUCUGGAAGUAAGGUCAGU